GAUGAACGCUGGCGGCGUGCCUAAUACAUGCAAGUCGAGCGAAUGGAUUAAGAGCUUGCUCUUAUGAAGUUAGCGGCGGACGGGUGAGUAACACGUGGGUAACCUGCCCAUAAGACUGGGAUAACUCCGGGAAACCGGGGCUAAUACCGGAUAACAUUUUGAACCGCAUGGUUCGAAAUUGAAAGGCGGCUUCGGCUGCCACUUAUGGAUGGACCCGCGUCGCAUUAGCUAGUUGGUGAGGUAACGGCUCACCAAGGCAACGAUGCUUAGCCGACCUGGGAGGGUGAUCGGCCACACGGGGACUGAGACACGGCCCAGACUCCUACGGGAGGCAGCAGUAGGGAAUCUUCCGCGAUGGACGAAAGUCUGACGGAGCAACGCCGCGUGAGUGAUGAAGGCUUUCGGGUCGUAAAACUCUGUUGUUAGGGAAGAACAAGUGCUAGUUGAAUAAGCUGGCACCUUGACGGUACCUAACCAGAAUGCCACGGCUAACUACGUGCCAGCCGCCGCAGUAA
rnacentral:rRNA from 1 species